UCUAAACUCAUGAUCCAUUGGCAAGAACUGGCAAUGACAAUCAAACCAUGUAUUUUUUCUGCCAUGCUUUAAAGUGAAUGCCUUACUAUUUUCCAUGCAAUACGGACAUGCUAGCUUUCCAGCUGUCAUCCAACCAGACAACAUCCCGUAUGCUGGAAAAUUAUUAAUAGUCCAACAUUAAAGAAGCACGCAUAACGAAAUUCUGCUUAGUUGAUAUAUCAUAAGUCAAAACGC
rnacentral:lncRNA from 1 species